CCUGUCCCUAGAAGCAUUGCAGGCCUGACUGCUGUAUCACGUGUGCAUCAGUAGGUGGCAAAGAGGAGAGAGGCUAUGUCUGCAUUCAGUGUCCUUACCUAUGAACACCUGAAUGAUUAGUAGCCUAACAUU